GACGAACGCUGGCGGCGUGCUUAACACAUGCAAGUCGAACAGAAAGGCCCUGCUUUUGUGGGGUGCUCGAGUGGCGAACGGGUGAGUAACACGUGAGUAACCUGCCCUUGACUUUGGGAUAACUUCAGGAAACUGGGGCUAAUACCGGAUAGGAGCUCCUGCUGCAUGGUGGGGGUUGGAAAGUUUCGGCGGUUGGGGAUGGACUCGCGGCUUAUCAGCUUGUUGGUGGGGUAGUGGCUUACCAAGGCUUUGACGGGUAGCCGGCCUGAGAGGGUGACCGGCCACAUUGGGACUGAGAUACGGCCCAGACUCCUACGGGAGGCAGCAGUGGGGAAUAUUGCACAAUGGGCGGAAGCCUGAUGCAGCAACGCCGCGUGCGGGAUGACGGCCUUCGGGUUGUAAACCGCUUUCGCCUGUGACGAGGCGUGAGUGACGGUAAUGGGUAAAGAAGCACCGGCUAACUACGUG
rnacentral:rRNA from 1 species